rnacentral:misc_RNA from 1 species
AAUUUAAAAGUCAUCUGCCUCAGUAUAUCACUAAAAAAUUCAACUGUAUCCGAUUGACUUAAAAAGAUAAUAAAUUAUUUUUAUACUGAUUGACACUAAAAUUAUGAUACGCAGGAACGUGAAGAUUUGGGAAUAAUUUUAUUAGGGGGAAAAAAAUAAUGAACAUAAAAAUCUCAGCGACCCAUAAAAUCACAUUAAUCAAACGAAUGAAAGCCGCACACUGUCAACUUAAAAGACGUUUGAUUAUGAAUAUACACCAUCCCUGCCCGUUUCAGGACAUAUUUCGUUCGAUUUUGAUUUUAUUUCAAACGUCAUUCAUACACCGACGUGGGAUAAAUAAAUCAUAAAAUCAUUUACACACUGGGCCGAAUAAAAAGGGCGUACAUUUAAAAUGCAAGACAUUUGCGAUUGUUGACUUGAAAUCAUUGAAAUCUUUUCGUCGUAAUAUAAUACACCCGUGUAUGACCGAAAUCAUGACAUUACAUCGAUCAUCGUUCAAAACCAAUUCAUCUGUUUGAUAUUCAUAUUGAAAGUAAACGAACGCGGCUGUGAAAUUCUUAUCGUGGUCGUGAUAUAACGAUAAUUUGAUCACCGCUAUUGGUUUCUAUUGGUUUUCAGUGUGUCGAAUUGACGCGCACGCGAAUUAUUAACUUUGUGUAUGUCGCGCACAGUGGUGCGAAAACCGGGGUGGAUGGGGCGACGUUUAACAUCGGGGGGCCUUACCAUAGACGUGAACUCGGAGGAUAUUUUCAACGCGAAAGAAUCGAGUAACGCGUUUAAUGAUAAUUACAGGGCCUCGGACUUACUAUCGGAGCCCCAAAAUCCUAGUUGCGUCACUGAUCACACGCGUCUGAGCGAAGACGCGUGGCAGUCAGGUCCUCAUUCGAUUGCGAAUACCGCACAUGGUUCUGAAUGUUUUAUAAACAUUUGCGUCGUUUCGCGUAUUAUAUUUCGUGUACAGCGAUCGUACGCGUCCAAGUAUAAUAUCAAGCGAAACAGAACGCUAAGUCAGCAGUGCGGUAGUCGCACUGUUCGAGAGCACACAUUUGUCAACGCUUACUUUCUCAUCGCAGCCACCGACCGGUAAAUCGUUGAUCCGACGAACGUUAACCGCAGGACAAAACAUGCGGUCCAAGGAUCAUCGAAACGUGCACCAAGUGUUGAUCCGGCGCCGGUUGUGCAAUCCACACAAAUGCGUUUCGGCGGUUAGUGUCGGAGAACGGUGUGUCGGCGAAAGGUUUUCCGCGAACAACUGCUGCACCGGAUCUAGAACAGCGCUCCGUGUGCGCAUGCAAAUCAAUCGCGUAAGAAAAACCACCGCGCAACGCGCACCAGACGUACGCAAUUGCGUCAUCGACUCCGAUUCUUACCCGAGUCCGGACGAACGAGGGACGAACGAGGGACGAUCGAGACCGGUUGGGGAUGAGCUACGUGGAAACGGAAUGAUCUGUGUUUUCAAGGCAUUAUUGUUAACAUUAUUAUUAUUCGUCUUCGCUUCCGCAACGCUGCAGCCUUUAUUCCGGGGACAGAUGUCAUCGUCUGAAUAUAAACGCCCUUAACGAGACGCUGACGGUUGACGGGAUGGCAGCGGUGGACCCCCGAAGCGUUUAUUUUCUAUUCCAUAUAUCAAAUACUCGGUUCAUCUGUCGCCGGCGCGUUUUUUCGACCGUCCGCGCGCACCGCACUUUGCUUCUACAAAUUUAUUUUACUCCCAUCACACACUUCAUCAAGGCUCGACCCACACGGGGUCCGGUGUAAAACUUUACAUUCCAGAUCUGAACUGCUGCAGUGACAAUUAACGGUCUUUAAUGUAAGACGCCCAGUGCCCCGAUGACUUCAAGAUUUAAAUUACC